UACGUAGGGUGCAAGCGUUGUCCGGAAUUAUUGGGCGUAAAGGGCUCGUAGGCGGUCCAUCGCGUCGGGAGUGAAAAGCUGGGGCUUAACCCCAGUCCUGCUUCCGAUACGGGUGGACUAGAGGUAGGUAGGGGAGAACGGAAUUCCUGGUGUAGCGGUGAAAUGCGCAGAUAUCAGGAGGAACACCGGUGGCGAAGGCGGUUCUCUGGGCAUUACCUGACGCUGAGGAGCGAAAGUGUGGGGGAGCGAACAGG
rnacentral:rRNA from 1 species